CAGCCGCCGCGGUAAUACAGAGGGUGCGAGCGUUAAUCGGAUUUACUGGGCGUAAAGCGUGCGUAGGCGGCUUCUUAAGUCGGAUGUGAAAUCCCUGAGCUUAACUUAGGAAUUGCAUUCGAUACUGGGAAGCUAGAGUAUGGGAGAGGAUGGUAGAAUUCCAGGUGUAGCGGUGAAAUGCGUAGAGAUCUGGAGGAAUACCGAUGGCGAAGGCAGCCAUCUGGCCUAAUACUGACGCUGAGGUACGAAAGCAUGGGGAACAAACAGGAUUAGAUACCCCAGUAGUCCCUGUCUCUUAUAC
rnacentral:rRNA from 1 species